rnacentral:rRNA from 1 species
CGCAACGGGAGGAGCGUGCGGUUCAAUUGGAUUCAACGCCGGAAAACUCACCGGGGGCGACGGAGGGAUGAAAGCCAGGCUGGAGACCUUGCCCGAUUCUCCGAGAGGUGGUGCAUGGCCGUCGUCAGUUCGUACCGUAAGGCGUUCUGUUAAGUCAGAUAACGAACGAGACCCUCGCCUUCAGUCGCGAUUUCGUGAGCGAUCACGAGAGCACACUAAAGGGAUCGCUGCCGCUAAGGCAGAGGAAGGAGAGGUCUACGGUAGGUCCGUAUGCCCCGAAUCUCCCGGGCAACACGCGCGCUACAAAGGUUGGGACAAUGGGAUCCGACGCCGAAAGGCGGAGGCAAUCCUGAAGCCCAAUCGUAGUCUGGAUUGAGGGCUGUAACUCGCCCUCAUGAAAAUGGAUUCCGUAGUAAUCGCGGGUCANCNUCCCGCGGUGAAUGUGCCCCUGCUCU